rnacentral:lncRNA from 1 species
GUGUGGCGUCACACGUAGCGGCCAAGAUGGCGCUAGCGGUUGGAGCAGGGGCUCUGCUGCGACCUUUACGGUAGUGAGGUUAGGGACGAUGGGAGAGCAGCUUUGUUCCUGAAGUGCCGUCGAGGAUUAGGAUCGAGUUUCUUCGAUCGUGAGGGCAAUUAUUAGUGGCCUCUAGCCCCCCAGAUGGCAUCUUGAGGAGAGAGAAUCCACGCUACGAGAACUAACAUAGUGGACAUCGCAGUUGUCCGUAGCCGAUUUGCGGGUUACGGAGUUGUUGCAAGUAAAGAAGGGGAAAUCCGAGCGUUCUCGCGUUGGAUUUCCUCCACGUGUGAAGUGGGAAUGGUAGUGAUAUCUCGUGCUAUCUCUGUCAAGGGCAAGAAGGAGAAGGAAUUUAUUUGAGGCCCUACGACGUGGUGCGGUGGCUCACGCCUGUAAUCCCAACACUUUGGGAGGCCGAGGCAGGCGGAUCAUCUGAGAUCGAGAGUUCGAGACCAGCUUGACCAACAUGGAGAAACCCCGUCUCUACUAAAAGUACAAAAUUAGCCAGGCAUGGUGGCACAUGCCCGUAAUCCCAGCUACUCGGGAGGCUGAGGCAGGAGAGUAGCUUGAGCCCAGGAGGCGGAGGUUGUGGUGAGCCGAGAUCGCGCCAUUGCACAGCCUGGGCAACGAGCGAAACUCCAUCUCAAAAAAAUAAAUAAAAAUUUUUUUAAAAAAGAAAU